UACGUAGGGUGCGAGCGUUGUCCGGAAUUAUUGGGCGUAAAGAGCUCGUAGGCGGUCUGUCGCGUCGGUCGUGAAAACUUGGGGCUUAACCCUGAGCUUGCGGUCGAUACGGGCAUGACUGGAGUUCGGCAGGGGAGACUGGAAUUCCUGGUGUAGCGGUGGAAUGCGCAGAUAUCAGGAGGAACACCGGUGGCGAAGGCGGGUCUCUGGGCAGUAACUGACGCUGGGGAGCGAAAGCGUGGGGAGCGAACAGG
rnacentral:rRNA from 1 species